rnacentral:rRNA from 1 species
GACGAACGCUGGCGGCGUGCUUAACACAUGCAAGUCGAACGGAAAGGCCCUGCCUUUGUGGGGUGCUCGAGGGGCGAACGGGUGAGUAACACGUGAGUAACCUGCCAUUGACUUUGGGAUAACUUCAGGAAACUGAGGCUCAUACCGGAUAGGAGCUCCCGCUGUAUGGUGGGGGUUGGAUAGUUUCGCCGGUUGGGGAUGGACUCGCGGCUCAUCAGAUUGUUGGUGGGGUAGUGGAUUACCAAGGCCUUGACGGGUGGCCUGGCUGGGAGGGUGACAGGCCACGUUAGGACUGAGCUGCGGCCCAGACUCCUACGGUAGGCAGGGGAGCAGAAGAGUGCACUAUAGGCGGAGGCCUGGUGCAGUAACGCCGCGUGGGGGAUGUCGGGCAUGGGUUUGUGUUGCGCAGUUGCCUGUCACGAGGUGUGAGUGACGGUAAUGGGUAAAGAAGCACCGGCUAACUACGUG